GGAUGUGAGGACGAUCUGGCUGCGAAAUCUGUUAGAGAUGAUUUGGCUGAUAUGGCUGGCUAGGCGGGGGUCCCCUUCCUCUCUCAAUGUUCUAUGUGAGUCCCUCCAAAGCUGAGUGCUUAGUCGAAGAGCAUGACCAUCUCCAAUAGAGGAGCACUCGGUCAAGGAUAUAUGAGUAGUUGUUCUCCCCUGCUAGAAUUUCCAAACAAGCUCUCAAGAAAAGGUAAUAGAGUGGAGUGAAUAUGAUCAUUGUUCGUUAUACACAUGCAUGAAAAUAUCACAAUGACACACAUAAGUUUAUAU
rfam:Dipodomys ordii contig_18584, whole genome shotgun sequence.